CUAUGUCAGCACAGCAAGGAUACUGGAGCAGGAUUUCCUGAGAAGGAGCUGUUUAAGCUGGAUCAUUACUUGAGUUCCAUAUUAUUAGAAGUCAUGAAGUCCAAGCAAUAAUGGAGGAACACUGGCACCCCAGGAGGGAAAGGACAUCCUACAGCAGAGACCUGCAAACAGGGCUUGGAAUGCUACUCUGAUCCAGCUCCUUCAUGAUAAGUCUAUCUCUCUGGAUCUUGCUUUCUUUAUUGUUUCUGCCUUUGGUGGACCCUAAAAUUUACACGAGACAAAGCCCAACAGCAAGAAGGUGCAAACCUUGUUUUCCUGCAGAACCCCACAGUCCUCACUGAGUACCAGCCCUCCUGCUAGGUCCAAUCUCUCUGACCCUGCCACUCCCUGAUCACAUAGGACCUGGCAUGAGAGGCUGUCCCACUGGACCUCACAGUGUUCUCUCACUGGGGCUUGUACUCCACACACACAUAAGCUUCCUCUAAGUCUGCCUUGACUAGUUCCAAUCAUAAGUGAGCUGCCGCCUUUUCUUCUUCCCCUUAUGUGUUCAUAGGCUGGGGAGCACUGGGAGCACUUCCUCACUGUGGCUGAGGAAGCCACAAAAUGGGGCAACCCAGAUCUAUCCACUUAUUCCACCCUCUAUCCACUCAGAUCUAUCCACUUAUUCCACCCUCAUUGCUGACAAUCAGAACUUCCAACCUGGACUAUUUCAAAGCUUUCCAAGAUCCCUACUGUCUUCAAGUUCUGUUUCCUCCAACCCAAAGAGCAUUGCAAUAGGUGUGAAUGUUCUAAACAGCCAUCCAACUACACCAUGCUUCCUGCUCAGCAACCUUCAUCAACACUGGGGAUCAAAGUGUGGGCAGACCCUCACACUGACUUUCAAGAGUCUGGGUCCCAUCUCUUCUUUUAAGUUAGUGUUUCCAACCUCUUCCUUCCUGUACAGUAUUCGAGACACACUGGACUACUCACUGAUCUCUGCCAUCCUUUGAUGGCCUCCAUGCCUUUGCUGAUGCUUUUUUUCUACUUAGAAGGUCAAGACUACCUGUUUAAAUCCUACUAGCCAUUCAAGGCUUGGUUCCUUACCACCUCCACCCCAUUAAGAACUUUCUUCUUCUCCACACGAGCCCCAUAAAAGCCUCAUGUAGCUCACUGAGAGCUCUUACUUUGUUUCAACAACAAGCAACCAAUGCUCCAUGCCCCACCUUGCAUGUUGGCCCUCUAUGAGGAUGUCUUACUCAGCAUACAGUCCAAAUGCUCCUGGAGGGCAGAAGCCACAUCCAAUCAAUCUAUUCCUCCUGCUGGGUAAAGUAGCUUGCAUUUAAUAGACAAUUAAAUAUAUAUUUGUUGACAGAAUAACUGAAUGAGACACUUCCCCAGAGUUUUAUUUUAUAAAGAAGUUUAGAGGGAGAAGUAAAUUUCCAUACUUUGUUCUGAAUUUUGUCUGACACCUUAUCACAUCAAGGUAGUUAGCAAUCCUAUAAGUCUCAGAUUAGACAUCACUUCCUACAUUAGGUGAGGUUAGGUUCCUCCUAUGUACCAUCACACACACUCACACACAUGUGCAUGCACACAAACACACAUACACACACACUUGCUCUGAGUGCUGGUACAGGACAGAGGAGGUGGGGAGCUACAUUUCCACUCCUGGUUUUUUACUCCAUUGGAGGUGAGCUUCCACCAGCAUCAUACUCCUGGCCUCUCUCUCCACCCCUCAUUCACCCAUGCUGAGUUUAUACUGAUUCUUACAAAGGGGAAGAAGGAACCAUGACCUAGUUAACCUAGCCCUCCUUCCCUCUCUUAGGCACAAGUUCCCUGCAGGAAGCACAUCCCAUGCCUGCCUGCUCAUCCCCUGGGGCUUUCACUGGGAUGCAGACUCUCCUGCUGCAAAUGGGAGCCUUGGCCUGACCCAGACUUCCGGGACUAAUGGACCAGCUGAACAAACCAAGAUUCAGUGUCAGGCAGCCCAUUUGCCUAAAGGUGUAAGCUAUAUUCUCCAAUAACAGCUUCCUGUGAAUCUCA